UUGCCAAGCUUCUAAGUUGCUCGCCUACUGACUUACUUAAUGCUGCCAAUUGGCGAUUAUAUAAUGUACAGUUACGAGAGAACUGACCUCUCAUCAGACAUAACGUGUCAUAUAUUGCAGAGAGAGAGAGAGAGAGAGAGAAGAAAGAAAGAAAAAAGCAAGCUGCCGCUCUAUCAAGUUUCCAGUUUCCAGUGUUGUGAAUACUGUUGUGGAUGAUAUUGUGGUGUCCAAUUGAGAAUUUGCAUAGUGCGAUAACGAUAACAAGUCGAUCACAGUGUGUUUAUCGGCAGGAAUUGUAGCUGGUGCUUCCAUUUUGACACAGCGAGAAAUAGAGAGAGAGAGAGAGAGAGAGAGA